CUCAUUAUUAUGAGAUAAUUAUAGUGUUCUAUAUAUAUCUAUGGGCGUGACAGCCAUAGGUGACAACAACCCAGGCGCGACGGAAGUACUCUGGCGUGACGGAAGUGAUUUAUUUUUUAAACUUUUUUUUAAACACCGCUAAAUCGGAAACCAAAGAUGAACCAUGGAAUACGCUUGGUACCUUGCCAUGGAGGCACCAUUCGACUUCACUGUUAAAGAAAUGCCAGUCCUCAGAAAAUGGUGGUGCACAGUACUACUGCUUGAGAACUUCCACCUGGAUGGGCACGGCAGAAGGUUCCCACGCUUCAUGGAGGAGGCCAAACAAAUGGCGGUUCGACUACCGUACUUCCACCAGUCUCAGACUGAAGCGAAAAAAAGAAUGAGUUGGAGCUGAUGGCAGUCAGCAUGAAGAAACUAUAUCUUAAAGCUUCUGUAGAUUAUUUGUUAAAUAAAUUGUGAGGAAACUUUGGUGUGGUUAUUCUUCAACUAAUUUAUUCUAUUUAUAUCAAACUAUGAUGAUAUACUCAACAAAAAAAUAAAUUUGAUUCUAUUAGACAUAUUAAAACAAAUACAUAAUUUCAAAG
rnacentral:lncRNA from 1 species